UCCUAGGUGGUCGAGUGAGAAGACGACAGGCACCUGAUAAUCUCAGGGUCUGUAGGCGUGGGUUCAAUCCCCGCCCUCGGGC